rnacentral:rRNA from 1 species
GAUGAACGCUGGCGGCGUGCCUAAUACAUGCAAGUCGAGCGAACAGACGAGGAGCUUGCUCCUCUGACGUUAGCGGCGGACGGGUGAGUAACACGUGGAUAACCUACCUAUAAGACUGGGAUAACUUCGGGAAACCGGAGCUAAUACCGGAUAAUAUAUUGAACCGCAUGGUUCAAUAGUGAAAGACGGUUUUGCUGUCACUUAUAGAUGGAUCCGCGCCGCAUUAGCUAGUUGGUAAGGUAACGGCUUACCAAGGCAACGAUGCGUAGCCGACCUGAGAGGGUGAUCGGCCACACUGGAACGGAGACACGGUCCAGACUCCUACGGGAGGCAGCAGUAGGGAAGCUUCCGCAAUGGGCGAAAGCCUGACGGAGCAACGCCGCGUGAGUGAUGAAGGUCUUCGGAUCGUAAAACUCUGUUAGUAGGGAAGAACAAAUGUGUAAGUAACUAUGCACGUCUUGACGGUACCUAAUCAGAAAGCCACGGCUAACUACGUG